rnacentral:rRNA from 4 species
AGACCCGAAACCCGGUGAUCUAGCCAUGGGCAGGUUGAAGGUUGGGUAACACUAACUGGAGGACCGAACCGACUAAUGUUGAAAAAUUAGCGGAUGACCUGUGGCUGGGGGUGAAAGGCCAAUCAAACCGGGAGAUAGCUGGUUCUCCCCGAAAGCUAUUUAGGUAGCGCCUCGUGAAUUCAUCUCCGGGGGUAGAGCACUGUUUCGGCUAGGGGGCCAUCCCGGCUUACCAACCCGAUGCAAACUGCGAAUACCGGAGAAUGUUAUCACGGGAGACACACGGCGGGUGCUAACGUCCGUCGUGAAGAGGGAAACAACCCAGACCGCCAGCUAAGGUCCCAAAGUCAUGGUUAAGUGGGAAACGAUGUGGGAAGGCCCAGACAGCCAGGAUGUUGGCUUAGAAGCAGCCAUCAUUUAAAGAAAGCGUAAUAGCUCACUGGUCGAGUCGGCCUGCGCGGAAGAUGUAACGGGGCUAAACCAUGCACCGAAGCUGCGGCAGCGACACUCAGGUGUUGUUGGGUAGGGGAGCGUUCUGUAAGCCUGCGAAGGUGGCCUGUGAGGGUUGCUGGAGGUAUCAGAAGUGCGAAUGCUGACAUAAGUAACGAUAAAGCGGGUGAAAAGCCCGCUCGCCGGAAGACCAAGGGUUCCUGUCCAACGUUAAUCGGGGCAGGGUGAGUCGACCCCUAAGGCGAGGCCGAAAGGCGUAGUCGAUGGGAAACGGGUUAAUAUUCCCGUACUUGGUGUUACUGCGAAGGGGGGACGGAGAAGGCUAUGUUGGCCGGGCGACGGUUGUCCCGGUUUAAGCGUGUAGGUGUGUGUUCCAGGUAAAUCCGGUUCACUUUAACACUGAGGCGUGACGACGAGGCACUACGGUGCUGAAGCAACAAAUGCCCUGCUUCCAGGAAAAGCCUCUAAGCAUCAGGUAACAUCAAAUCGUACCCCAAACCGACACAGGUGGUCAGGUAGAGAAUACCAAGGCGCUUGAGAGAACUCGGGUGAAGGAACUAGGCAAAAUGGUGCCGUAACU